GAAUGCCCUGUUCGGGAGGAGGGAGCUGUCCAGAUCUAUAGAACGCUGAGUGCGUGAGAGGGAGUAGUAAGUGAUCAGUGUACACGGUUGGCUGGAGGUGAACAGACAAGGGUGGUGGCGAUGGUGUCCUUUUGAGAAUCCAGGGCAAGGCUGCCUUGACUUGGGCCCUCUGGGCCUGGAUUACUCCUGCUCCUUACCCCCAGAACUCAGUAUCCCUGGCUUCCUUGGAGAUCCCACUCAGGUUAAGUGAUCUGAUUCAACGGCAGCCUAAUCCCCAUAUGGCUUUCAAAUGGACUUCAUGUAUAGUGUAUAUUUUUAGAUAAUAAAUCACACAUAUAAAUUUUAUUAACCAUUUAUGGAACCCCUUAAAAUACUUUUUAGAAAUUCUUUCCAAGCCUAGCACCUGUUUAAGACCAUAUGACAUCAUGUCUCUUGGUAUAUUGUUCUAUUAUGAAUAGUGGGAAAGGUUUUCCACCUUGUCAUUAAGCUUUGGCUGCAAAGUUUGUCAUCAUGGAAGGGAAGUACCUGGAAAAUGUGAAUUCAAUCAAAAGCGUGCAGCAGAAACAUGAAAAAUAAAUAGCAGCCUUCUCUG